AGGCAGCUGUGCCCGGUGAGAUGGAGAGACUCCUUGACGUUGCCCAGUGAGGCCUGCAAUGAAAUCAACUGUGAGAGUUCCUCUUCAAUCAGAAGGGUGUUUGCAGAAGAUUAGAAGGGAGUUCUAAAGGCAGCUGUGUGAGAGAAAGCAGGAAAGCAAGUCGGAAAG